GAACUCCUGAUCUCAAGUGAUCCGCCCACCUCGGCCUCCCAAAGGGCUGGGAUUACAGGCGUGAGCACCCGGCCAUCCUGGUUUCUCAAGUCUGGCAGAUCCUCCCCAGAUGCCUAGGCCCCCACAGUUCCCCUCAUGCUGGGGUCCAAGCUGGAGGCAGCGUGGCUUCUGUGUGGGCCGCUGGCUGCAGGGCUGACCAAUGGCCAGGGCUGCCCUGGAUCUGCCAGCAGUGGCAGCCGGCGGGAAGUGGGUCCCAGGUGCGGGCUACUGGAAAGAGGAGGUUGAGCCACAGCCAAGCUGCUCAGAUUUUCCAGGGUUGGACCCCUGGGUCAUCUAUGUGGGAGGAAGGAAGUGGUCCUGGGAGGGGCAGAGGGGCCCUCUGGCCCCCACAGGAAGGGUGGGCCCUGCAUCCUCAGCCCGUGCCCCUCUUUCCUAGAAGCUGUGGGCCCAGGUCAACCCCAGGGGCCUGUGAGGGCUGGUGCAGAGCUGAGGAUGAACACAUCCCCACAGCAGGCCCCACUUGGACCCCGGAGCCAGAGGGGAAAUUAGGGACGCUUCCCUGUUCCACUGCCAGUGCCCAGGCCAUGCUGUCAGUGGACAAGUGGACAGGCAAGUGGGCAGGCAGCAAAGCCAGGCCUCUGCUGACCUCAAACCCAAGGUGUCCAGGGGGCCCUCAGCGGGAGUGGAACACCUGUACAGCAUGAGGUUCUAGUACCACAUGUGCCAGGGCGGCGGCGUCUUUAACCACCACUCAGAGAAGUUGUUUGCUGAGUUUCUUUUGUUUUGUAGCAGCAUGACCUUUCCUCGUUGUGGGAAGAGCUGGUGCAGAACCUCCCUGGUCCGUGCUCUCCGUCAGUCUUGCCCUGUUUCGGGGGUCCAUCCGGCUGCCACCAUGUCCUGGUCCCCGAGGAGCCCCACGUACGCAGAGGCCCUUCCCCUCAUCCUGGGAUCCGGCCGCCACCAGGUCCUGGUCCCCACUGAGCCCCAGGAAAAUGAAUCCAUGAAUGCAUCACCAAGCUUCAGUGACAGCCAGGCUCCCUCUAGCCUCAUAAAUCCUCCCGUGGGGUAUUUGAAAUCAAACGAAGAUGUCCUUCCACUGCGUCCAUAAACACUGUGGUAUGUGCCCCCAGCAGAUAAAAUUUCUCCUUUUUAGAAAACAUAGUCGCAAUGUAAUCAUCACAAUUGAGUCCUAAAUAUUCAGCCUGUUCACAUUUCCCUGACUGAAAACAGCUGCGGUCAUGUGUUUUCCUUGCUGCGCUGGCCGAGGUGUGUCUUCCGGCCCCGCGCCCUCUGUCCUCUCGCUUUCUGGGCAUCUGCGUGUGGAUCCCGGGCUGUUCGUCCCGUGGGAUGCCCACUCUUGGGCUGCUGCUGCUUCUGCCUGGCUGGGUUUGACGAGCUCCUCCAUCCUUGCAUUUCCUCCAGCCUCGGGUUUGCCAGGCAGUGCCGGCUCCUGCCCUCAACACACUGUGGGGGCACAGGGUGUCCUGGUGCCUCUCAUCUGGGGAUGGUCAGCCUGGUCACAAAGGCCCCCAGAGGAGGGCUGGGUACUCCUGCCCCUGGUCCUGGGAUCCCUGGAGGGCAGGAUGCUGGCACCCCCUCCAGCCUGAGCUGCUGCAGAGGGUGGCCCCGCAGGGGGAGUUUUUGUACCGCCAUAGAGCUCAGUGCAGCGGGAGGCUGCCUCAGCUCAGGCCCUAACCGUGGUCUCAAGCCAGCUCUCUCCUUGUAGGGACUCGGUUUCCCCAUGUUACCCUACUCCCCUGAGCCUGACAGCUCAGCCCCUCUCAUGGUGGUGGCUCACCUCUGGCGUUUCAUGAAGGUUUGCAAAACGGCGAUCUUCGGAUCCCAUUGCUCCUUCUGCGUUUACUCGCUGGAGAUCCUCUGGAAAGAGCUUUCUCCCGUGAGCUGCUCGGCUGGGUGAGAAAGUUCCUGCAGGAAAGCCGGGACCCAUGCUUGCUUCCUCCCCCUAUUUGCCAGUUCUCAGCGUCACGGCUUGGUGCCCUAACAGCAUCCGAGAAGGACAGGAGGUUUCGAAAGUGGUUUGAUAAAUUCACGGAGUUUUAACCAUUUGAUGUUUUCUGCCAUCACUACCAUUAGUCUGUUCAAUGUCUGUAGCGCUCCGGCUGGCGCUGGGAGCCCUUCUGCACCCGCUCUGCACCCCCAAAUGAAACCCCAUCUGGACAGGGACCCUGUCUUGCUCACCCACGGAUCCUGGGCACAGCAGGGAAGACACUCCCCUGUGAUUUCUUCCAGACGUGUUUGUUUCAGCCUCCGUAUUUGCAUCUGCAGACUGCACGUGGGAAAACGUGGGGCUCCAGCUUCCUGCAUUCUGUACGGAUCUGCAACUGCGCUGGCACCUUUAGUAAAGACGUCCCCCGUUUCCUUGAUCUGUAAUCCUGAAUCUGUUGUGAACCAA